UAGGGAAUCUUCCACAAUGGACGCAAGUCUGAUGGAGCAAGCGCCGCGUGAGUGAAGAAGGCUUUCGGGUCGUAAAACUCUGUUAUUGAAGAAGAACGUGUGUGACAGUAACUGGUCAUGCAGUGACGGUAUUCAAUCAGAAAGUCACGGCUAACUACGUGCCAGCAGCCGCGGUAAUACGUAGGUGGCAAGCGUUGUCCGGAUUUAUUGGGCGUAAAGCGAGUGCAGGCGGUCUUUUAAGUCUGAUGUGAAAGCCUUCGGCUUAACCGAAGAAGGGCAUCGGAAACUGGAGACUUGAGUGCAGAAGAGGAGAGUGGAACUCCAUGUGUAGCGGUGAAAUGCGUAGAUAU
rnacentral:rRNA from 1 species